rnacentral:sRNA from 1 species
AUUUCGCAUUAGCGGUAGAAGUGAUAUCCUUUUUUGUUUUCGACUUUACUCAAAUAAACAAAAAAGAUAAAACGAAUAACGCGACCGAAU